UUAUAUAUUGUUAUAUAUUUUCAUGUUAUGUAAAACUUCUUUAACAUAGAUAGAUUUAUGUAACAUAGACACCCGAAAAUUGCGAUAUAGGUUGACAUCUAUUUCAAAUGAUAUCAAAAAUUAACUUUGAAUAUGGGUGUAUGUAAAAACACUGGCAACCAGCUUGUAUGCCAAUAUAUAAAAGUCUCAUUGACCCAUGUUUCAGUGUAUGCUGAUGUAGCUUCUAAAAUGUGAGAGGGCAAGGAAAUUAGACGUUACAGUACUUUUCACAAACUAAUCUGGCUAUAGUCUAUAUACUACAAGAAGUAAUAAGAAAAAUCAAUUUCAGAAGAUUACCAAUCCUUUCUUCCUGGCAUCUUUCAAAAACUCUUAAAAGUGAAUUUGGCAUUGACAGAUACUAAAUGGCGAUAAUUAUGUUAUAUCAGCAAAACGAGUAAUGAACAGUUUUAGUCUUCAACGGUUGAAAUUACUCAGCAAACAUGAAUUCAUUGAAGAAACUGAUUGUCGUUGCUCUAGCAUAAAGAUCGUUGCACGAUCGACCUGAUAAAAGAUGAAAUUACUUAUAUAUGUGAUUAAUUAAAAAAAGACAAUUAGUUUGUAAAUAAUCAGGUGAAUGGUAGCCUUUAUUAUAUGGCUGGUUGUGUUCAGCACAGGAUGUUGUGCAUAGUUAAUGUAACAAUAUCAGUUUUUCAGUUCCAAAAUUAAAAAUUAUGUUUCACAUAGUAAA
rnacentral:lncRNA from 1 species